GGUCCGUGUACGUUUUGAUAGUUUGUUUUUUCGAUUGAAACACAAAACAAAAUAACGAGAAACCACCUGUUUUUCGUUUGUCGUUUCAAACCAAAAUCAAAGAAACAGUAAAAAAAGAGCCGUUCUCUCGUUUUUGGUUCUAAAUCCAAAAACGAAAAAUGACAAAACCAAAAUCAAAUAACGGUCCGAUUUUGGUUUUUUGAAAUUCCUUUUUCCAUUUUUUCGUUUGAAGAUCUACAUUGAAAUACAGACAGGUUGGCCACGUGACCCGGAAGGAAUAGUAAAUAUGGUCUAUCAAAAUAAAAGCCAAGCUUUUAGAACGGUCAUAAUAUGCAGCGCUAACGUUAUACGAGAAGUUAAGAAGUUAAGCUUUUUAGACAGCGAUUUCUUGUCUCAGUGUGUAAAAGCAUUUUUCUUCUUCACCUUAGAAGAAGAAAAAUCUAUUAAUAAAUAGCCUUAUAUAAACCUGGACCGGAAUAAAUAUGUUAGCAACAGUAGUUUAUUACAGCUAUUUAAUAUCGUGCCUAUCCAGACAUCACCAGUCACGUUUAAUGAGCGCAUUGUUUGGCUCAAUACAGUUGGUAAUAUAGGUUAACCUAAGAACUUAUUGUGUGUGCAGAGUUGUUACUGUUAGCGCUAUAUUAUAUAAUAAAAUUUAUAUUUAAUGUGGUUUCCACCGUAAUGGAUAACUGUUCCCCCUUUCUACCAGCAGGUGGCAGUAUUUAAAUGACUGACUGUAUGGUGUCUUUGGUAACUGUUUUAAAUCAAGAUUACUGAUACAGAUGUAUUUAUUGUUGUUCAUUUUAUUUUGUUUUUAUUUGCCUAGUUAUCAUCAUCAUCAUCAUCAUUCACCCAGCCCAGAGUUAAACCUGCUUCUGUUUUAACCUGAUUAUAACACUGCACUGCUAUCAGCUUCUUAUAGCAGCUCAGACAACAAACUCACAUCAGACAUGUCCUAAUCCUAAUGUAGGCCAUCUAGCCAAAAUAAUGAUUUACCAGUGUGCUAUAUACUUUGUGAAUCUUUCUUCUCUAUACACAUUCCAGUUUGUAUAACAUACAAAACUCUGAUUGUGUCAUGCCAGUGAAGAGAAUCCAUAAAAGUCUUAAAAUUUUAUAUAGCACAUACAUGCUUUCAAGGGCAUUGCAUGUACAAUCAAUGGCUGCAGAACAUUUGUUAAGCCCUAAGGUAAGAACAUUUUACAAGGUCCUCAAAAGAAAACCCCAAAACAUAAUUACAUUACUAAAAACAGGCUGUCAACGCUGAUUACAUCAGGAAUAACUGCAACAAAACGUUUCCAGUAACUUUUGAUAUGUCCUGCUUAUUGACUUGGACGAAUCUUUGCCCAUUCCUCUGUACAGAACAGCUUCAACUCUUGGAUGUUGGUGGGUUUCCUCACAUGAGCUGCUUGCUUCCUCAUCCUUCCACAACAUUUCAAUCAUUUUAAGGUCAUAACUUUUGACUCUGCCUUUCCAAAACAUUCACUUUAUUCUUCUUUAAGAUGUGAUGGAAAACCCAGUUGUGGCACCGUGCUGCCGCAGCCUCGUUGGAUGCCGGGUCUGCGUUGAGCAGUGGGCAACUACCUCGCCGCACUGCCCAAAAUGCAGGGACGAGAUGUUCCAAGAAAAAAAAAAAUUUAAAUUACAGGGAUGGGGGAGAUUGUGAAUGUUUUGAAAGACACUAUUAGUUAGGAGAUUGUUUUAGUUAGUUUUUAUUUUAGGUUUAGGUUUUAAGUUAAGUCAAAUGGUUAAGUUUGGUUAUGUUCAUCUGUUAUGUUAUUUUAUGCAAUUAAUAAAUUGUUCAAUUUUAUUUUCUAUUACUCUCACUUGCAGAACUCCUUUUGUUGUAUUCAUUUUAUGUUAUUUUAUGCAAAUAAUAAAUUAAUAUAAAUAUUUUAAUAAAAUAAAUUAUGUUCACUUUCA